rnacentral:rRNA from 1 species
UUGGCCACGGAUCAGGC